AGGAUCAUUACUGAACUGUCGACACGAGUUGUUGCUGGUCCUCGAAAGGGGACAUGUGCACGCUCUGUUUACACAUCCACUCACACCUGUGCACCCUCGUAGUUCUAUGGCCUGGGGGCUCUGUCCCUCUCGCCGUGGUCCUACAUCUUUACACACACACUGUAACAAAAGUAUAAUGGAAUGUAUGUCGCGUCUAACGCAAUACAAUACAACUUUCAGCAACGGAUCUCUUGGCUCUCGCAUCGAUGAAGAACGCAGCGAAAUGCGAUAAGUAAUGUGAAUUGCAGAAUUCAGUGAAUCAUCGAAUCUUUGAACGCACCUUGCGCCCUUUGGCUAUUCCGAAGGGCAUGCCUGUUUGAGUAUCAUGAACACCUCAACUCUCAUGGUCUGCCAUGAUGAGCUUGGACUUUGGGGGUCUUGCCGGCGUAACCGUCGGCUCCUCUCAAAUGAAUCAGCCUGCCAGUGUUUGGUGGCGUCACAGGUGUGAUAACUAUCUACGCUUGUGAUCUUCCAUCAGGUUACCUUCAGUAAUGGGGGUUCGCUGGAGCUCACAGACGUCUCUCCUCAGGGAGGACAGCUUUUUAAUGUUUGAUCUCAAAUCAGGUAGGACUACCCGCUGAACUUAAGCAUAUCAAUAAGCGGAGGAAAAGAAACUAACAAGGAUUCCCCUAGUAACUGCGAGUGAAGCGGGAAGAGCUCAAAUUUAAAAUCUGGCGUGCCUCUGGUCGUCCGAGUUGUAGUCUGGAGAAG
rnacentral:rRNA from 1 species